CCUCGAGAAAUACUUUCUCUGAAUCCUUUUGUGAGAAUACCAAGUAUCUUUCUAAAGGAUAAGAGAUCCUACUAGAUCGAUGAGUUAGAGGAAGUACUACAUACAUUGGCUCAUCUUAAAUAGAUUAUACAGGUCUAGUGACUCAUUGUUCUUUAGAGACUCUCUUUGAGUUCAUCCUCCCACUAUUUUCAAGAAAAUAGUAUAAUUGCUCACAAUCA
rnacentral:lncRNA from 1 species